rnacentral:rRNA from 1 species
UACGGAAGGCAGCAGUGGGGAAUAUUGCACAAUGGGCGAAAGCCUGAUGCAGCUAUGCCGCGUGUAUGAAGAAGGCCUUAGGGUUGUAAAGUACUUUCAUCGGGGAGGAAAAACAAAACUAAUAAUUUUAUUUCUUGACGUUACCCGAAAAAGAAGCACCGGCUAACUCCGUGCCAGCAGCCGCGGUAAUACGGAGGGUGCUAGCGUUAAUCAGAAUUACUGGGCGUAAAAGAGCACGUAGGUGGUUUUUUUAAGUCAGAUGUGAAAUCCCUGGGCUUAACCUAGGAACUGCAUUUUGAAACUGAAAUACUAGAGUAUCGUAGAGGGAGGUAGAAUUCUAGGUGUAGCGGUGAAAUGCGUAGAUAUCUGGAGGAAUACCUGUGGCGAAAGCGGCCUCCUAAACGAAUACUGACACUGAGGUGCGAAAAGCGUGGGGAGCAAAACAGGGAUUAGAUACC